rnacentral:rRNA from 1 species
AUACGUAGGUGGCAAGCGUUGUCCGGAAUUAUUGGGCGUAAAGCGCGCGCAGGCGGUUCCUUAAGUCUGAUGUGAAAGCCCCCGGCUCAACCGGGGAGGGUCAUUGGAAACUGGGGAACUUGAGUGCAGAAGAGAAGAGUGGAAUUCCACGUGUAGCGGUGAAAUGCGUAGAGAUGUGGAGGAACACCAGUGGCGAAGGCGACUCUUUGGUCUGUAACUGACGCUGAGGCGCGAAAGCGUGGGGAGCAAACAGGAUUAGAUACCCUGGUAGUCCACGCCGUAAACGAUGAGUGCUAAGUGUUAGAGGGUUUCCGCCCUUUAGUGCUGCAGCAAGCGCAUUAAGCACUCCGCCUGGGGAGUACGGCCGCAAGGCUGAA